CUAGCAUUCCCGGAAUGCUGCUGACAGAUGGCUGCCAAGGUUACACGGGUAUUUAUCACUGAAGGAGAUAAAUCAUUGCUGUGUCUUCCCAAAAUGAUGCUGCAUCUUUGAACUUCUUCCUGAACAAAGCUCUUCUUGUUUUCUGCUAGGCUCUGCUUUGGCGAUUGAAGGAACAGCGCCUGACUAAUGACACUGGACAGCAAGGAAAUGCAGUUGUCCUGGAAGACCAGGCAGGAUUGAAGGAGGUCUCAGAAGGGAAGUCAAGGGGCUGUCCUGUGGAAACGUGGCAGGAGUAUCACCCUGAAGGCGUGGAAAAGAUCUCUGCCACCUAACCAGGCUGUUGAAAUGUCAGAUGGUAAAAACAACCAAGAGUUCCAGAUGGGGCAGUCGGAAGAGAAACAUGCCGAAGAUGGUAAUGGGAAAGUUCUGGAUUCUCUCAGCUGGGAGUCCCAUGUCCUCACCUGUGACUUCCCAACCCAAUCACUGUGCAAGCCUUACGCAAAGCAGUAUGCCUUGAGGAAGUUCUUCAUAACCAGGUAAACCGAGCCAUUAGCCCAGCACGCGGAGCUCCCCCUCACUGCAGCGGCCAGACAGCUUUUUGGAGGCCUGGCAGACGCAACCUGGGCCAGCACCCUCACUUCAGCACGUGUGGCCAUCAUCCACCGCUCGGUGCAGCAUGUCACGUCUGUGUCUGCAGCGUGUUGCAGUGAGCUCCCUCCGUCACUGACAGCACCUUUCAGCCUUGACAAAACACUUAAAAACAUCUGCAAGCCCUCCCUCCGCAGAGGAGCACGAGCACUGUGUGCUUCUGCUGCUCUCUGCUCUCUACCUGCCUCAUUCCUGCACCAUCUCUGUGCUGCUCCGGCAGCAAAGUGCCCCUGAGUUACUGCAAAGGCCAGCGCACUGUCAUCACAUGCUGUCUGUUUUAUAACUGUCCACUCUUGUAAAGCACUGACAUUUGGGUAGGUUGGAAAUAGUUUGUAGCUGGAACAGCACCGCUUUGUGCCUCUGGUGGGAAAGGCUGAGCUUUUGUUUAUGUUGGUGUUGUCUGUCCUACAGCACACAAGGGCUGGGCUGAGGCUGGGGGUGUUUCUGCGGUAUGAUGCUUUCAGAUGCUUGAGUCACAGGUCUGUCUUCGUCUGUGCAGCUCCCCCGGAGCUGUAUCCACUAUAAAUCCCUUUUUUUCCCUCAAUAAAGAUCUCCCUGUGGCCCA
rnacentral:lncRNA from 1 species